rnacentral:rRNA from 1 species
UACGGGGGGGGGCAAGCGUUGUUCGGAAUUACUGGGCGUAAAGGGCUCGUAGGCGGCCAACUAAGUCAGACGUGAAAUCCCUCGGCUUAACCGGGGAACUGCAUCUGAUACUGGAUGGCUUGAGAUUGGGAGAGGGAUGCGGAAUUCCAGGUGUAGCGGUGAAAUGCGUUGAUAUCAUCAGGAACUCCGGGUGGCGAAGGCGGCGUGCUGGACCUUUCUGACGCUGAGGCGCGAAAGCCAGGGGAGCAACGGG